GAAUUAGGAUAUGUAUUAUUUUAUUUUUUGACCUCUUGUAUUUCUCCAAAACCCAAACCCCUCCCCCUCACGAUAGAAAAUGUUGCAGAGCAGUGUCUUCUUCUCCUUCCCUAGUUGUUCCGCUCCAAAUCUUCCUUCGCUCUUCUUCCCCACCUCAGUCCCCUUUAGCUUCUCUACCCCCCACUUCCAUUGCCAAAUAAAACAACCCAAAGUAACGAAGCAGCAAUUCUUCUGCCGCGUGUCCUCCAGCUAUGAAGUUGGUGGAGGCUAUCCUGAUGAAGAACUUGAACGAACUUAUAAAACCCAGACCCAACAACUUCAAGACAGUCAGCACUUAGAUUCUUCUCAGUAUGAUGCUUUACUCAAAGGAGGAGACCAAGUCAUUUCUGUUCUUGAAGAAAUUAUUACCCUUUUGGAAGAUAUGAACAUGGAUGAGGCAUCUGAGGAGGUAGCAGUUGAGUUAGCUGCACAAGGAGUAAUUGGGAAAAGGGUUGACGAAAUGGAAUCAGGGUUCAUGAUGGCUCUAGAUUACAUGAUCCAAGUUGCUGAAAAGGACCAAGAUGAUAAGCGAAAGUCGCUGCUUGAGGUGAUUAAGGAGACCGUGCUGGCACAUCUCACAAAAAAAUGUCCUCCGCAUGUUCAAGUGAUUGGACUUCUCUGUAGAACACCCCUGAAAGAAAGCAGACAUGAGCUACUACGCCGAGUUGCUGCAGGUGGUGGUGCUUUCAAAAGUGAAAAUGGCACCAAAGUUCAUCUUCCUGGAGCAAAUCUAAACGAUAUAGCAAACCAGGCUGAUGAUCUACUAGAGACAAUGGAAACUCGGCCAGUUGUUCCAGAUCGAAAACUACUUGCAAGACUUGUUUUGAUCAGAGAGGAAGCUCGAAAUAUGAUGGGAGGUGGGAUACUCGAUGAAAGAAAUGACCGUGGUUUUAGUACUCUUCCUGAAUCAGAGGUGAACUUCUUAACAAAGCUUGUAGCACUGAAACCUGGGAAACCCGUCCAGGAAAUGAUAAAAAAUGUAAUGCUAGGGAAAGAUGAAGGUGCAGACUACUCUGACACUGAUGAAGAAGCUAAUGCCAGUAGUACGAGACCCCGGGGAAUUGCAGGAAGGGGCAGUGUUACAGGGAGAAAACCACUUCCUGUUCGCCCCGGCAUGUUUCUUGAGACUGUGACAAAGGUUUUGGGUGGUAUAUAUAAUGGAAAUGUCUCUGGCAUAACAGCACAGCAUUUAGAAUGGGUUCAUCAGAAAACACUUCAAGUUCUUCAGGAAAUUGCAUUCUAAUUCUUCAAGCUACUUGUACCAGAAAUUGGAUUACAUCAUAAUCCGCAGUUUACAUCAAAGGAGAGAGAUGAUUCCAUAAGUAGAGGUAUGGGGCAAAUGAUGUUUCUCACAAUCUUGUUGGAUGGUAAAAGUCUUCAUGUCACCAGACUUUCACUUUGCUCAAUCGUCAUAUUCAUCUUUAGCUCAUAUAUCACAUCACUUUUUAAGCAGAAAUUAAAGUUAAAAAGAAGCAGCAACACCAGAUCAUGCUACUUAAUUAAAUUAAAUUUUGUUUUGUAUUCAGAUUUAUUGAAUAUUAUUUCCUUCUUUAACUAAUGACAUGAAUCAACUGUAAACAUCAAAAGUUGAUUAUAUAUAUAAAGCAAGCAAAGCUUAGCUUUUCUUCUCA